GGCUACCUGGCGCAAUGGUAGCGCGUUUGGCUUCGAUUGCUAAACAGGGUUACCAAAAGGUUGCAGGUUCGAGUCCUGCGGUGGUCA